AUUGAACGCUGGCGGCAGGCCUAACACAUGCAAGUCGAGCGAGCGGCGGACGGGUGAGUAAUGUAUGGGGAUCUGCCCGAUAGAGGGGGAUAACUACUGGAAACGGUGGCUAAUACCGCAUACCAUAGGAUGAGCCCAAGUGGGAUUAGGUAGUUGGUGAGGUAAAGGCUCACCAAGCCGACGAUCUCUAGCUGGUCUGAGAGGAUGACCAGCCACACUGGGACUGAUACACGGCCCAGACUCCUACGGGAGGCAGCAGUGGGGAAUAUUGCGCAAUGGGGGCAACCCUGACGCAGCCAUGCCGCGUGAAUGAAGAAGGCCUUCGGGUUGUAAAGUUCUUUCGGUAGCGAGGCGUUACCCGCAGAAGAAGCACCGGCUAACUCCGUGCCAGCAGCCGCGGUAAUUC
rnacentral:rRNA from 1 species